CCUACGGGUGGCUGCAGUGGGGAAUUUUGGACAAUGGGCGCAAGCCUGAUCCAGCCAUGCCGCGUGAGUGAAGAAGGCCUUCGGGUUGUAAAGCUCUUUCGGUGGGGAAGAAAUUGCUUCGGUUAAUACCUGGAGUAGAUGACGGUACCCGCAUAAGAAGCACCGGCUAACUACGUGCCAGCAGCCGCGGUAAUACGUAGGGUGCGAGCGUUAAUCGGAAUUACUGGGCGUAAAGCGUGCGCAGGCGGUUGUAUAAGUCAGAUGUGAAAUCCCCGGGCUCAACCUGGGAACUGCAUUUGAGACUGUACGGCUAGAGUUUGGCAGAGGGGGGUGGAAUUCCACGUGUAGCAGUGAAAUGCGUAGAGAUGUGGAGGAACACCGAUGGCGAAGGCAGCCCCCUGGGCCAAUACUGACGCUCAUGCACGAAAGCGUGGGGAGCAAACAGGAUUAGAUACCCCUGUAGUC
rnacentral:rRNA from 1 species